rnacentral:rRNA from 1 species
AUGUUUGCAGAUGUCACUAUUGCACAAUGCAAAAGAGCCAAAAAAUUAGUGAUGGAGAAAUACAAAGAUACCACCAAAGGAGAAUAUUCCUUGGUUUUUGACUACCAAUUGGAAUUGCUGAGAACUAACCCAGGUAGCACUGUUGCUAUCAAACUGGCAGAUGAUGUGAAGGAUGAUGAGCAUGUUUUUGAGAGGUUUUACAUGUGCUUUGGUGCUAUUAAGAAAGGAUUUCUUGCUGGCUGCAGAAAGGUUAUAGGACUAGAUGGAUGUUUCUUCAAAGGAGCUUGCUUUGGUCAGCUACUUGUUGCUUUGGGAAGAGAUGCCAAUAAUCAGAUGUACCCUGUAGCUUGGGCUGUAGUCGAAAAAGAAACAUAUGAGUCCUGGUUCUGGUUUGUUGAGAAGUUAAACAGAGACCUCAAAAUCAGCAAUCAAGGGGAUGGGUGGGUGUUCAUCUCAGAUCAGCAGAAAGGACUAAUAGGGGCUAUAGAGGAUAUUUUUCCAAAAGCAGAACACAGGAUGUGUGCAAGGCACAUUUACUCAAACUGGAAGAAAAAACAUAAUGACAAAGAUUUGCAAAAGAGAUUAUGGAGAUGUGCAAAGGCUCCUAACAAGUCUCUAUUCAACUAUAACAGGGCAAGGUUGACUCAAUUCACAGUUGAAGGAGCAAAGGACAUGAUGAACACAGACCCAAUUCACUGGAGCAGGGCUUACAUGAAAUUGGGAAGCUACUGUGAUUCAGUUGACAAUAACAUGCACGAGUCAUUCAACAAUUGGAUCAUGGAAUCAAGAUAUCUACCUAUUAUAUCUAUGUUGGAGUGGAUAAGAUGCAAAAUUAUGGUGAGGAUACAAGAAUGCAUUACCAAGUGUUUGAAAUGGUCAGGAAUCAUAUGUCCAAACAUAUUUAAGAAACUAAAGCAGAAUAUAGCAAGAUCUGGAAAUUGUCAUGUGCUCUGGAAUGGAAGAGAUGGGUUUGAGGUGUUAGAGCAUGAUAAAUACAAGUACAUUGUGAAUUUGCAAACUAGGGUUUGUUCUUGUAGAUAUUGGCAGCUAUCUGGUCUACCCUGCUGCCAUGCAAUAAGCUGCAUCUACAAGAGCUCACAACAGUUGGAUGCAUACAUAGCUGAGUGUUAUUCCAUUAAGACUUACAAGAAAAUUUACUCUCAUGUGUUGGAGCCAUUGGAAGGUCAGUCAAAUUGGCCGGUUGCUGAUCAUGUGAGGCCCCAAGCACCUGGUUACAUCAAAAUGCCAGGCGGGCCAAGGAAAGAAAGGAAAAGAGAAGAAGGAGAAGCACUAAAAGGGAUAAAAAUGAGUAAGGUGGGUGGACAAAUCACCUGCAGUUCAUGCAAUAGGACUGGCCAUAACAUGUCAAGUUACAAAAAUAAUGUUGCUGCAACUAAGCAUCAUGGAAAUGCACAUAUUGUCAGAGAAAGGUCUAGGAAAAGGAAACUGUAG